rnacentral:lncRNA from 1 species
CUGGUACAGUAUCUGCUCAUGGUAGGCGCUCAAUAACUAAAUUGAUUCGCUUGCUGAACCAAUAAACAAUUGAGUGGCUGAAUGAAAGGCAGGCAGAGCCAUAUGAUGAAGGGCAUUGUCUGCUCUGCUGGAGUUUGGAUCCAGUUCUGUGGGCUCUGAGAAGUCAGGGCAGGGACUUGAGUCAGGGAGUGACAUAAAGCAGUGACUCUGCCUAAAGCAGAGGAAGCAUUGGAGGUGGAAGUUGCAUCUGCAGAGGGAUUUUUAGGAGGCUGUUGCACAAAUCCAGGCAACCAGAUUACAAUUAUGUGUAGGAGAGGGGGUUGAGAAGGCUGCCUCUCCUCUCUGAUCUAGACGGUGCUGUGAAGGAUUUCCCCCAAUACAGCCAGCCUCUUAGCCCACCCCUUCCUCUGUGGUCUGAGGCCCGAGGGGAACACUACUGCACCCGGAUUCAAUCCUAUCUACAGCAAGAAGAGGUUGCGAGGGUCAGAUUGGAUGAUGGAUGUGACAGCAGCUAAUUCCACCAGACUGAGUUUCUAAAGGAUUGGGCUCUAUCUUUUACCUGCAUUCCAGGUACAUGACACAGCACCUGAU